rnacentral:rRNA from 1 species
GACGAACGCUGGCGGCGUGCCUAACACAUGCAAGUCGUGCGAGAAAGUUCCUUCGGGAGCGAGUAAAGCGGCGCACGGGUGAGUAACACGUAGGUAACCUGCCCCCCAGUCUGGAACAACUAGAGGAAACUCUAGCUAAUGCCGGAUGAGACCACGAUCCCUUCGGGGGUUGCGGGCCAAAGAUGGCCUCUACUUGUAAGCUAUCGCUGAGGGAUGGGCCUGCGGGCCAUUAGCUUGUUGGUGAGGUAACGGCUCACCAAGGCUGUGAUGGCUAGCUGGUCUGAGAGGAUGACCAGCCACACUGGGACUGAGACACGGCCCAGACUCCUACGGAGGCAGCAGUGGGAAUAUUGCGCAAUGGGCGAAAGCCUGACGCAGCGACGCCGCGUGGGUGA